rnacentral:rRNA from 1 species
UAGAGUUUGAUCAUGGCUCAGGAUGAACGCUGGCGGCGUGCCUAAUACAUGCAAGUCGAACGAGUUCUCGUUGAUGAUCGGUGCUUGCACCGAGAUUCAACAUGGAACGAGUGGCGGACGGGUGAGUAACACGUGGGUAACCUGCCCUUAAGUGGGGGAUAACAUUUGGAAACAGAUGCUAAUACCGCAUAGAUCCAAGAACCGCAUGGUUCUUGGCUGAAAGAUGGCGUAAGCUAUCGCUUUUGGAUGGACCCGCGGCGUAUUAGCUAGUUGGUGAGGUAAUGGCUCACCAAGGCGAUGAUACGUAGCCGAACUGAGAGGUUGAUCGGCCACAUUGGGACUGAGACACGGCCCAAACUCCUACGGGAGGCAGCAGUAGGGAAUCUUCCACAAUGGACGCAAGUCUGAUGGAGCAACGCCGCGUGAGUGAAGAAGGCUUUCGGGUCGUAAAACUCUGUUGUUGGAGAAGAAUGGUCGGCAGAGUAACUGUUGUCGGCGUGACGGUAUCCAACCAGAAAGCCACGGCUAACUACGUGCCAGCAGCCGCGGUAAUACGUAGGUGGCAAGCGUUAUCCGGAUUUAUUGGGCGUAAAGCGAGCGCAGGCGGUUUUUUAAGUCUGAUGUGAAAGCCCUCGGCUUAACCGAGGAAGCGCAUCGGAAACUGGGAAACUUGAGUGCAGAAGAGGACAGUGGAACUCCAUGUGUAGCGGUGAAAUGCGUAGAUAUAUGGAAGAACACCAGUGGCGAAGGCGGCUGUCUGGUCUGUAACUGACGCUGANGNCUCGAAA